UGCGUGAUAAGAUAAAAUGUUCCCCAGGUAUGAUGGUCGAGUUUUGUCGUUCCGCGAUAAACGUUAUAAACGUGGCCAUCAUUGACCCUUCGACUAAUUUCGAAUGCAUGUUGAUGUUGCUCUGGUGUGUCAAAUUAAAAGGAAAGCUGCAAGUAAGAUGACGUGGUAGAGUAGUCGUUUCGUUGUCGGCCGUGUGAUGUGUUGGUGUGCGCGAGUGUGACGGCUGUGUGUCGCAGCGGCCGACGACGCGGUGCCGCGCCGGCCGCGCUUCUCGCGCGCCGCCUCCACCGACAAGAACCAAGGGCCGGGCGGCGCCGGCGCCGGCGUGCGGCAGACGUACACGUACGAGACGCUGGUGCAGUACGCGGACUCGCCGCUCAGCAAGCUGCCGCCGGCCGGGCUGGCCGCCUUCCCGCCGGAGCUGGCGCGCAAGGUAACGCACUGCGCGCGCCUUCAUAUAUCUAACGCGACUUCGAUUAAGUCCCGUUUGUGUUAGUUAAUAAUGUCUAAAAAUCGUGAAAGUUUAAAUCAGUGUUUUCCCUUGAUGUCCCAUAGUCCUGGGACACCCUGUAUAAAUCCCUGCUUAACUUACCCCAACCUAAUGUAGGUCGAGAUCAAUGUGCUCACUGCGCUUUCCUUUGUUUCUGGACCCUGCACUGCGACAAAUAUUAUGUCACUACAUUUCCUUUACUAUGGCUCCAAACGGUCUCCGUAGCCCAGUUGGUAGUGACCCUGCCUACGAAGCUAGAGGUCCCAGGUUCGAAUCCCGGUAAGGGCAAUUAUUUAUUUGAGCGUUGAUGGAAUCUAAAAUGGACUCGGCUAUUGGGUGAAAGCGAUGGACUUAGUAUUUGUAUUAUUACAUAUAUCGUUGUCAGAGGAUCCACAACACAAGCCUUUUUGAGCUUAAUAUGGGCCUAUAUAAUGUUGAUUUGUGUAAGAUUGUCCCAUAAUUACCCAACUGCGUCUGAGGAGGGUAAUGUUUUGUGAUUAAUUUAUUUUAUUUAUUUAUGCCCUCCAAUUUUGUGGUCAAUAAAGGUAAAAUGAACUUUAAUGCGAGUAAAAUAAAGGUUAUAUUUGUAAUCAACGGAAACAAAUGCUUUGAACAACAAAUUUAUUGCGUUUGUUUGUCUAAAUCUUUUUUCUUGGCAGUAAUACCCUGUUGCAGCGUAAGUAAUGGCGAAAACGCAAUUCGUUAUAUUAAUUGCAUAUUUCGUUUUGUUUGUGUUUGUGUUCCAAUUUUCAUAAUAUAUUGUCAUUAUCUGUCGAAGUUGUACCAUUUAGCCGUUUCUCAAUGGCGCUCUUUACAUAAAGAUGUUUUUUUUUUCAUUCACAACUGAUUAUAUUCUAUCUUCCUCUGAUGUUGUUUUCAUAAUAUAAAAAUCUUGUAAACUGAUAAAAUGGACGCUCGAUAUUGGUCUGGUCUGUCAUUGCCUUUUAGUUCGUAUAGCUACCGUUGGCGCUUGUUGCGUAUGCAGCUGUAAUGUUCAGCCAAGGUAUGGUUGGACCGGACCGAUACAGUGUUAUGUUUACGAUGCUUGAUAUAUAAAUAAUCUUUACUUAAUUUAGUCGUUAUCUUUUAUCUAUUUUUCAAUUUGUUCACUCUAUAUUAUUUUAUGUCUUUUUCCUUCUUGUCUGUUACCUUUCGUGAUUUUUCUCACUUGAUGGUCUCAUCGGAAGAUCAGCGCUGGAAGCCACCAGCAACAUGCUGAGAUGAGGCCAUUUCGUGGCACUUUAUACUUCCUUUGUUUUUGUUAUAUCAUGUAAUUUAAUGUGUCUUGUUUGUGUCUACGAAUAAAAAAUAUUCUAUUCUA